UGGGGAAUAUUUGACAAUGGGCGAAAGCCUGAUCCAGCCAUGCCGCGUGUGUGAAGAAGGUCUUCGGAUUGUAAAGCACUUUAAGUUGGGAGGAAGGGCAGUAAGCGAAUACCUUGCUGUUUUGACGUUACCGACAGAAUAAGCACCGGCUAACUCUGUGCCAGCAGCCGCGGUAAUACAGAGGGUGCAAGCGUUAAUCGGAAUUACUGGGCGUAAAGCGCGCGUAGGUGGUUCGUUAAGUUGAAUGUGAAAGCCCCGGGCUCAACCUGGGAACUGCAUCCAAAACUGGCGAGCUAGAGUAGGGCAGAGGGUGGUGGAAUUUCCUGUGUAGCGGUGAAAUGCGUAGAUAUAGGAAGGAACACCAGUGGCGAAGGCGACCACCUGGGCUCAUACUGACACUGAGGUGCGAAAGCGUGGGGAGCAAACAGG
rnacentral:rRNA from 1 species